UACGUAGGGGGCAAGCGUUGUCCGGAAUCAUUGGGCGUAAGGCGCGUGUAGGCGGUUCGGUAAGUCUGCUGGGAAAGUCCAGGGCUCAACCCUGGGAUGCCGGUGGAUACUGUCGAACUAGAGUACGGAAGAGGCGAGUGGAAUUCCCGGUGUAGCGGUGAAAUGCGCAGAUAUCGGGAAGAACACCCGUGGCGAAGGCGGCUCUCUGGGACGGUACUGACGCUGAGACGCGAAAGCGUGGGGAGCGAACAGG
rnacentral:rRNA from 1 species